CUAUUUUUGUAUAUAUAUAAUUAAUUCUUCUCGUACUCGUUGCCUCAGGUUAUUCCCAACAAUCAAUUAUUAACAGUACUAUCUUUCACUUUUCUUCUUUUCUUUUCCGAGGCUUCUCAAAAAGAAUACUUUUGCAUCUGCUCUCUCUCUUUAGGUAAAAUUAUUGAGGCGAAAUCAGCUCUUUCAUGCAUGGCGGCUGUUGCUCAUCUUGAGGAUCCUUUUGGUUUUGAGGAUUACUUUCCCUCAAUGAUUGAAACAUUGGGUGCAGAAAGGUUUAUGAUGGAAUUAUGCAAUGGUUUUAGCUUGCUGAUGGAUGUAAGCAUAGGGCUAAUAACAUUUGAAAGUUUGAAGAGAAACACUACAUUAAUGGGAUUGCAUGAAUUGAGAGAUGAUGAGCUUGUUUGUAUGUUGGCUGAAGGAGAUUUGGAUGGAGAUGGAGCUCUUAAUCAGGUUGAGUUUUGUGAACUCAUGUUCAGAUUGAGUCCCGGAUUGAUGGAUAUAUGACGUGAAAUCAUCCAUUGAUGCUUGCGUUAGGAUAGGUUACAGGAACACGUGCGAAAUGCUUCGUGUACCUGGAUUAUUUAUGGAUGGAUGACUCUGGGACUUACUGGUUUUCGUUUCUAAUCCCUAUAUUUUCUAUGUCUAUUGUUUUAAUGGACUUUAAUUUUCUUCACUAGAGUGUAACGUACGGGUUGUAGUUUUGCUAGAUUCUGUAUUUAUAUUAGCAAAUACAUUAAAUAUGUAUUUAAUUGCGAAUCCAAUAACCAAGACAAGCUAUGAAUUUGAUGAUAAAUUCUGAA